CCUACGGGAGGCAGCAGUGGGGAAUAUUGCGCAAUGGGCGAAAGCCUGACGCAGCGACGCCGCGUGAGGGAUGAAGGUCUUCGGAUCGUAAACCUCUGUCAGCAGGGAAGAACGGUCACUGUGCUAAUCAGCAGUGAAUUGACGGUACCUGCAAAGGAAGCACCGGCUAACUCCGUGCCAGCAGCCGCGGUAAUACGGAGGGUGCGAGCGUUAAUCGGAAUUUCUGGGCGUAAAGCGCUCGUAGGCGGUAUGUCAAGUCAAGGGUGAAAUCCCCGCGCUCAACGUGGGAACUGCCUUUGAAACUGGCAAUUUGGAGUGUGUGAGAAGAUCGUGGAAUUCCAGGUGUAGGAGUGAAAUCCGUAGAUAUCUGGAGGAACAUCAGUGGCGAAGGCGACUAUCUGGCACAUAACUGACGCUGAGGAGCGAAAGCGUGGGUAGCAAACAGGAUUAGAUACCCGAGUAGUC
rnacentral:rRNA from 1 species